ensembl:lncRNA
UGCGGUCAGCUGAGCCAAGAGCAGACUCACCCGACGAGCAAAUGGAGUCCAGGCAGCUUUCAGCUGCAGACUCCGAGAGCAGGAAUGAACUGGAGGAAGGGGGCGUGGCCUGUUCCGUGAUAGUGUGUGACAUCCAUCCAAAAGCUCCAGGUGUGAGGGGUGGAAAGAAUGACCCCUGGUCAUGUGACAGCUCUGCAUCUUCCUCUGACAGUGAAGAUGAUGAAAAAGACAAGAAAAAGAAGAAAAAGCUGAAGAAGAAAAGAAGCAAGAAGUCCAGCUCAUCUUCCUCAUCAUCAUCAUCAUCAUCAUCAUCAUCUUCCUCUUCAUCCUCAGACAGUGACAGCAGUGAGGAUGAAAAGAAGAAAAAGAAGAAAAUGAAAAUCAGCGAGACUGCAGAGCCGGGCAUUCUCACAGAAACAGGUCUGGAGGGAAACACUGAAUUAACUCCUGCAGGAGAAACUAAAGGAGACGAAGAGAAGAAAAAGAAGAAAGACAAAGAUGCAGCUGCAAUCAGUUCAGACAGUGAGAAUGAAAAGAAGAAGAAGAAGAAAAAGAAGAAGAAAAAUAAAAAGAAGCAGAAGAAGGAUAAGAAAAAGAAGAAGAAGAAAAAGAAGAUGAAGAAGAAGGAUUCCAGCUCAUCUUCCUCCUCUGACAGUGAGGAUGAUCACAAGAAGAAAAAGAAGAAAAAGAAGCCGAAGAAGAAGAAGAAGAAGAAGAAGAAGAAGGAAUCCAGCAGUUCUUCCUCCGACAGCUCCAGUGAUGAUAAGAAGAAGAAGAGAAAAAAGAAGAAAGACAAAAAGAAGAAAAAGAAAAAGGAAAAGAAGGAUUCAGGAGGUGACUCCGCAUCGGCUGCAGAGAAAGACGAGAAGGAGCUUGAGCUCAAACAGGAGGAUGGAAAGCUCACAGAAGACGCAUCUUCAUCUGGUGAACGCUUUGCACUUCCUGCGGAGUCUGCGGGUUUGACCGCUGUCAGGGACGACGGUCACUUGUCUGAUGAUGAGGGCGAGGGAGCAGACGACAAGCAGAAAGACAAAAAGAAGAAAGUAAAGAAAAAGAAGAAGAAGCAAUGCAGUUCGUCCUCUUCAUCGGACAGUUCUUCAGACAGCGAGGAUGACAAGAAGAAGAAAAAGAAGAAGAAAACCAAGAAAAAGACUCAUCUUCAUCAUCCGACAGCAGCUCCUCAUCCUCCUCAGACAGCGAUGAUGACAAGAAGAAAAAGAAAAAGAAGAAGAAGAAGAAAGUAAAGGUCAGACUGAUUUCAAUACUUAAAUGUAAUAUAUGUACAUAUCUUACAUUUCCAUAUAUGAAGUGUAAUGUCAUGUGAGGUAGAAAUGUAUAUGAAACACAUUAGAAGGUGGAAGAUGCAUGUGACAAACACUGACUGAAUUACUGCUCUGCUCUCGUUUCUUAAAGGAUUCUUCUUCAUCUUCGUCAUCAAGUAGCUCCUCAUCUUCUUCUGACAGCGAUGAUGAGAAGAAGAAGAAGAAGAAAAAGAAGAAGAAGCAUAAGAAAAAG